rnacentral:rRNA from 1 species
UACGUAGGGCGCAAGCGUUGUCCGGAAUCAUUGGGCGUAAAGAGCUCGUAGGCGGUUUGUCGCGUCUGCUGUGAAAACUCGAGGCUCAACCUCGGGCUUGCAGUGGGUACGGGCAGACUAGAGUGCGGUAGGGGUGACUGGAAUUCCUGGUGUAGCGGUGGAAUGCGCAGAUAUCAGGAGGAACACCGAUGGCGAAGGCAGGUCACUGGGCCGCAACUGACGCUGAGGAGCGAAAGCAUGGGGAGCGAACAGG